AUACCUAUCUGGCGUCGGGAUACCGUGAUCAAGCAGGCGGCUUCCCCGGGGUCCGGCUGCUCCAUUGCACUGCGGAGUGGUUGACCCUUGCGAUUAUUUUUAUAUUUUAUAAGUUUCACUUCUACCGAGUGUGACUUGCACACACACACACACACU
rnacentral:snRNA from 9 species